GAAUCACUUUUAACGGCCGCGGUAUCCUAACCGUGCAAAGGUAGCAUAAUCACUUGUCCUCCAAAUAAGGACUAGAAUGAACGGCCAAACGAGGGCCUAACUGUCUCCUAUAGCCCACCAAUAAACCUGAUCUCUCAGUACAAAAGCUGAGAUAAAUACAUUAGACGAGAAGACCCUGUGGAGCUUUAAGCCCUAGUGCCAACACCCACACCACCAUUGACACAGGCUUUUAGUUGGGGCGACUACGGAGCAAAACAAAACCUCCACGACACAACUCCAACCCAGUCCAAGACCCACACGUCAAAAAACACUACGACCCAGUCCAACUGAUCACCGAACCAAGUUACCCCAGGGAUAACAGCGCAAUCCUCCUUAAGAGUCCAUAUCGCCAGGAGGGCUUACGACCUCGAUGUUGGAUCAGGACACCCUGGUGGUGCAGCCGCUACCAAAGG
rnacentral:rRNA from 1 species